CAGACUAUAGUUUAAAAAAAACAUUAGCUUUGGGAGUUAACAAUCAGUAAACCUGUAGUCUGA
rnacentral:tRNA from 1 species